rnacentral:rRNA from 1 species
UUAAGCGACUAAGCGUACACGGUGGAUGCCCUGGCAGUCAGAGGCGAUGAAGGACGUGCUAAUCUGCGAUAAGCGUCGGUAAGGUGAUAUGAACCGUUAUAACCGGCGAUUUCCGAAUGGGGAAACCCAGUGUGAUUCGUCACACUAUCAUUAACUGAAUCCAUAGGUUAAUGAGGCGAACCGGGGGAACUGAAACAUCUAAGUACCCCGAGGAAAAGAAAUCAACCGAGAUUCCCCCAGUAGCGGCGAGCGAACGGGGAGGAGCCCAGAGCCUGAAUCAGUGUGUGUGUUAGUGGAAGCGUCUGGAAAGGCGCGCGAUACAGGGUGACAGCCCCGUACACAAAAAUGCACAUGCUGUGAGCUCGAUGAGUAGGGCGGGACACGUGGUAUCCUGUCUGAAUAUGGGGGGACCAUCCUCCAAGGCUAAAUACUCCUGACUGACCGAUAGUGAACCAGUACCGUGAGGGAAAGGCGAAAAGAACCCCGGCGAGGGGAGUGAAAAAGAACCUGAAACCGUGUACGUACAAGCAGUGGGAGCACAGAGCAAUCUGUGUGACUGCGUACCUUUUGUAUAAUGGGUCAGCGACUUAUAUUCUGUAGCAAGGUUAACCGAAUAGGGGAGCCGAAGGGAAACCGAGUCUUAACUGGGCGUUAAGUUGCAGGGUAUAGACCCGAAACCCGGUGAUCUAGCCAUGGGCAGGUUGAAGGUUGGGUAACACUAACUGGAGGACCGAACCGACUAAUGUUGAAAAAUUAGCGGAUGACUUGUGGCUGGGGGUGAAAGGCCAAUCAAACCGGGAGAUAGCUGGUUCUCCCCGAAAGCUAUUUAGGUAGCGCCUCGUGAAUUCAUCUCCGGGGGUAGAGCACUGUUUCGGCAAGGGGGUCAUCCCGACUUACCAACCCGAUGCAAACUGCGAAUACCGGAGAAUGUUAUCACGGGAGACACACGGCGGGUGCUAACGUCCGUCGUGAAGAGGGAAACAACCCAGACCGCCAGCUAAGGUCCCAAAGUCAUGGUUAAGUGGGAAACGAUGUGGGAAGGCCCAGACAGCCAGGAUGUUGGCUUAGAAGCAGCCAUCAUUUAAAGAAAGCGUAAUAGCUCACUGGUCGAGUCGGCCUGCGCGGAAGAUGUAACGGGGCUAAACCAUGCACCGAAGCUGCGGCAGCGACGCUUAUGCGUUGUUGGGUAGGGGAGCGUUCUGUAAGCCUGUGAAGGUGUGCUGUGAGGCAUGCUGGAGGUAUCAGAAGUGCGAAUGCUGACAUAAGUAACGAUAAAGCGGGUGAAAAGCCCGCUCGCCGGAAGACCAAGGGUUCCUGUCCAACGUUAAUCGGGGCAGGGUGAGUCGACCCCUAAGGCGAGGCCGAAAGGCGUAGUCGAUGGGAAACAGGUUAAUAUUCCUGUACUUGGUGUUACUGCGAAGGGGGGACGGAGAAGGCUAUGUUGGCCGGGCGACGGUUGUCCCGGUUUAAGCGUGUAGGCUGGUUUUCCAGGCAAAUCCGGAAAAUCAAGGCUGAGGCGUGAUGACGAGGCACUACGGUGCUGAAGCAACAAAUGCCCUGCUUCCAGGAAAAGCCUCUAAGCAUCAGGUAACAUCAAAUCGUACCCCAAACCGACACAGGUGGUCAGGUAGAGAAUACCAAGGCGCUUGAGAGAACUCGGGUGAAGGAACUAGGCAAAAUGGUGCCGUAACUUCGGGAGAAGGCACGCUGAUAUGUAGGUGAAGUCCCUCGCGGAUGGAGCUGAAAUCAGUCGAAGAUACCAGCUGGCUGCAACUGUUUAUUAAAAACACAGCACUGUGCAAACACGAAAGUGGACGUAUACGGUGUGACGCCUGCCCGGUGCCGGAAGGUUAAUUGAUGGGGUUAGCGCAAGCGAAGCUCUUGAUCGAAGCCCCGGUAAACGGCGGCCGUAACUAUAACGGUCCUAAGGUAGCGAAAUUCCUUGUCGGGUAAGUUCCGACCUGCACGAAUGGCGUAAUGAUGGCCAGGCUGUCUCCACCCGAGACUCAGUGAAAUUGAACUCGCUGUGAAGAUGCAGUGUACCCGCGGCAAGACGGAAAGACCCCGUGAACCUUUACUAUAGCUUGACACUGAACAUUGAGCCUUGAUGUGUAGGAUAGGUGGGAGGCUUUGAAGUGUGGACGCCAGUCUGCAUGGAGCCGACCUUGAAAUACCACCCUUUAAUGUUUGAUGUUCUAACGUUGACCCGUAAUCCGGGUUGCGGACAGUGUCUGGUGGGUAGUUUGACUGGGGCGGUCUCCUCCUAAAGAGUAACGGAGGAGCACGAAGGUUGGCUAAUCCUGGUCGGACAUCAGGAGGUUAGUGCAAUGGCAUAAGCCAGCUUGACUGCGAGCGUGACGGCGCGAGCAGGUGCGAAAGCAGGUCAUAGUGAUCCGGUGGUUCUGAAUGGAAGGGCCAUCGCUCAACGGAUAAAAGGUACUCCGGGGAUAACAGGCUGAUACCGCCCAAGAGUUCAUAUCGACGGCGGUGUUUGGCACCUCGAUGUCGGCUCAUCACAUCCUGGGGCUGAAGUAGGUCCCAAGGGUAUGGCUGUUCGCCAUUUAAAGUGGUACGCGAGCUGGGUUUAGAACGUCGUGAGACAGUUCGGUCCCUAUCUGCCGUGGGCGCUGGAGAAUUGAGGGGGGCUGCUCCUAGUACGAGAGGACCGGAGUGGACGCAUCACUGGUGUUCGGGUUGUCAUGCCAAUGGCACUGCCCGGUAGCUAAAUGCGGAAGAGAUAAGUGCUGAAAGCAUCUAAGCACGAAACUUGCCCCGAGAUGAGUUCUCCCUGACUCCUUGAGAGUCCUGAAGGAACGUUGAAGACGACGACGUUGAUAGGCCGGGUGUGUAAGCGCAGCGAUGCGUUGAGCUAACCGGUACUAAUGAACCGUGAGGCUUAACCUU